UAUCCCUACUGUCCAGUCUGUCCAUAGUGAUUACAGCGAGAGGUAUCCCUACUGUCCAGUCUGUCCAUAGUGAUAACAGCGAGAGGCAUCCCUACUGUCCAGUCUGUCCAUAGUGAUUACAGCGAGAGGUAUCCCUACUGUCCAGCCUGUCCAUAGUGAUUACAGCGAGAGGUAUCCCUACUGUCCAGUCUGUCCAUAGUGAUUACAGCGAGAGGUAUCCCUACUGUCCAGCCUGUCCAUAGUGAUUACAGCGAGAGGUAUCCCUACUGUCCAGCCUGUCCAUAGUGAUUACAGUGAGAGGCAUCCCUACUGUCCAGUCUGUCCAUAGUGAUUACAGCGAGAGGCAUCCCUACUGUCCAGUCUGUCCAUAGUGAUAACAGCGAGAGGUAUCCCUACUGUCCAGUCUGUCCAUAGUGAUAACAGCGAGAGGCAUCCCUACUGUCCAGUCUGUCCAUAGUGAUAACAGCGAGAGGUAUCCCUACUGUCCAGCCUGUCCAUAGUGAUUACAGCGAGAGGUAUCCCUACUGUCCAGUCUGUCCAUAGUGAUACCUCUCGCUGUUAUCUCUACUGUCCAAAUAAAACCACCUGCGGGCCACAAGUUGGGGAACCCUGGUGGGAACCCUGGUGUAGCUCCUAUAGAGAAGUUAAAGAAGACAUCACCCCAAACCACUCUCUCCAUGGCACUCAACAGCUCAGUAAAAACAGGACAAUUAAACAGAAAGCAUACAAGGAAGUCCAAACAACUUAAGCGGAGAGCAUUUCAGAUAGCGGAGAGCAUUUCAGAUAGCGGAGAGCAUUUCAGAUAGCGGAGAGCAUUUCAGAUAGCGGAGAGCAUUUCAGAUAGCGGAGAGCAUUUCAGAUAGUGAGGAAAUAUGCUCAUCUUUUCUUAUAUACGCAUUCGUUUUUAUUUUUGCUGAAAUUACAGUACAUUGUGACUCAAAAUGUACAAUAUUACUCUGGCUUAACAUACAUCUGUAAAAACCCCAAGACAAGCUGUGUUGAUAGUUGAGGUAUUCAUGAUAUGCAAAUAUUUAUUUCCAUUAAAAGACAUUAAAAAAAAAAGAUAAUAAACAUGUACCUUUAUUUAACUAGGCAAGUCAGUUAAGAACAAAUUCUUAUAUACAAUGACGGCCACCGGGGAACAGUUUGUUAACUGUGUUGUUCAGGGGCAGAAUGACAGAUUUUUACCUUGUCAGUUUGGGGAUUCAAUCCAGCAACCUUUCGGUUACUGGCCCAACGCUUUAACCACUAGGCUACCUGCCGCCUCAACUACUGACAUGCUCCGGUACUUUGGCAAAUAGUACUCUUUUUAAAAAAAAAUUUUUACUCCCGCUUUGGGCUGGAUGUGUCAAUGUGUAGUUCAUACAUGCAUCAUCUAUGAGCAGAGAGCAAUGUGGUGGGACAUACGCCGUACUAUACCACUUUCAGGGGCCUAAUUUUGUCCAGAACUACUGGCUAACAAGUACCGGAGAGGAUCUUUCAGUUCUAUGAUGGGUAACCUCCAAGUAACAUCCCCUUGUAGCUAAUGUCCAGAGAGACAGACUAGUGAACGAGACUGCCUACAUCCCAAAUGCCACCCAAUUCCCUAUUAUAGUGCAAUACAUUUGACAAGGGCCAAUAGGACUCUGCUCAACAGUAGUGCACUACGAAGGGAAUAGGCUGCAAUUUGGGACGUAACCUAUAUGAUGAGUACAAUUUUUAAGGGGAUGUAAACAUCAGAAUUCCCAUCAACAACACAACAAGCAACAAAAAUGCUUAAGUAUAAUUUCCAGAAGUGUGAACUUCUUUCAUUUAGGUUGUAAUGAAAUAAAAUAAAAAAUGAUUAAAAAAUAAAAAUGACAUGUUCAUGAAUACUAUAUUUGAUUUAAAAUAAAGUGCAAACUCAAUAGUUCAAACCUGCCAUUAUUCAAAGCUAGUAUAAUUUCCAGAAUUGUGAACUUUUUCCCAUUUAGACUGUAAUGAAAUAAAAACAUAUUUUCUUUUUACAUGUUCAAGAUCACGAAAAAAGACCCGUUAUAAAAUGUUCAGUAGUAUUCUCUCACGGGAAAUUCAGAAUACUAUAUUUCAGCAACAAUAAAGUGCAAACUCAACAAUAGUUCAAACCUGCCAUUAUUCAAGACUAGUUGAAGAGACCAACUAUCAGUUAAAUUCUCCCAAUGCCAUGUGACAUCACAAUGUGACAUCACCAUGAUAUCCAACCCAGUCUAAUCUGGGCCCACCUCAGUCCAACCCAGUCUAAUCUGGGCCCACCUCAGUCCAACCCAGUCUAAUCUGGGCCCACCUCAGUCC
ensembl:lncRNA